CCUCAUUAAAAAAAAAGAAGAAAAAAAAAAAUCUUAAAGAGGCUACUUCCGGUCCCACUUCCCGGGAUGACGUCAUACCCUGGACGGCUCUGGGCUUGUCCCCUGCGCCCGCAGUCUCUGCUUCUUCCUUUCAAGGGUUAAAGCAGAGGGGAUUCUUGGCCGUUCCAGAGAGAAAGCCAAGGAAGCCAAGCCUGGCCUGGCUUGCGUCACCGUCACCGCUCUUUUCUUCCAGAAGAGAUGCUGGGCGGUGGGGGUGGGGGUCGGGGGUGGGGCUGGGCGCCGUUCUCCUCCGCUCGUGCACACGGAAGAUCCCGGCAUAUAUCCCAAGGAUCAAAAGCCCAGAAGCGCAAAAGCAUCCUCAGCUUUCCGAGCAACCAGUUGUCACGUGACAAUGUGACCUGAGUGUGGAGUCCACUCACCUGACCAGAAGCCAGCAGCAAAGCGUGAGAGAGCUGAGAGUAAGGGAUAAUCCCCUAGACACCGGGACCCCUGGGCCUCCCCUGCCCCCGCCAGAGAUCCAAGGUCACCUCCCGGCCUGUGAUCGCCAUGUGCGGGGCACGGGGCACAUGUCCACCAGGCUGCCGGGAGGCUGAGCUCCCGGACCCUCCCCGUUCCCUUUCUCCCGCUACUCAUGCUCCCGAGGAAAGCCUAACGGGGUUUGCCCGGGGCUAGGGUGCCCUGUGGCAGAGCGUGACCCUCGGAAGGGCUUCUGCUCCUUGGCCUUCACACAUGCCCAGCUCUGCUUCCUGCCCCGGCUGAUGAGAACCGGUCGUCUCUGGAACCAAUCGGUUCCUUCUGCUCUAAUGAGCUCAUGUCUUUUCUUGCUGGGAAAUCUCCAAUCAUCCUCUUAACUUCUCGUUCUUGGACCGAAAUGUCAUCCAUCUGGGAGCCUGAGCCCAUUUCAGCUGGGAAGCCUGGACGCUGGGUCCUGGGUAGCAGUGCGGAGGAUCUGAGAAGGAAAUCUGCCCGGACCCCACGGAAUUCACCCUGCCCCAGGACUGGCUCUUAUCAAGCUGAAGAAUGCAACAAUCCCAGAAUGAGGCACACACAAGCAUGAAUGUGCAAGGGUUAAGACGAGCUUCGUGUGAUCACAGGCAUUCCAAGUGUGACCUUCCUGGUUCCCGGCUUCACUCAGCCAGACACGUAGCUCUGCGAGGGCUGUGGAGUGGAAGGAGGGAGGCAGGGGCACUCUGGCUGCUGGCACUGAGGUGGGGGUGGGGGCAGGGCUGAGGGGGCCAGCCCACCAGCACUAACAGCCUGAGCCUCUCAAACGCCACCUCCCAGGGGCAGCAGGAGGCUGACAGGGGGCGGAGGGGGCUGUGUGUCUGCGAGUUGAACUGUCUGCCUCCCUUUCUCCUGCCUCCCGGGACCCAGCUGUUUCAGAGACAUGUCCCCCACUCCACAGCCAUUCCUGGCCAGCUGUGAUCCACACCCCUCUGCGCUUCCCUGCCUGAACCCACGCUGGGGCUGACAUCCCCCUGGCCUCUAACCUGUUCCAGAAAAAGGUUUGCUUAGACGGGGCCAGCUUUACUCUCUCAAAAAGGAAAGCCUCCCUUUCUUCAGUUGUGGAGUCAGUGAAGGCUUGUCGGCUCCUCUACCCAGAAUUCCUUCUCCUGGUGUGUCCUGGGAGGGCAGGUCAUGGGCAGCCUCCCAUGGGCGAUUUGGGGGGCCUGAGGAGAGGCAGCCGUGCCGUGACUCUGCCUCUGUGAUGGGUGUGCGAGUCUCCCUCAUCUCACGGAUCCUCCCCCUACCCUGGGCCAGGGUGUGUGCUCAGUUCUGUGACCAGGGACUGAGCUUCUGCAGGCACUCUUAUCACCCAGUUCUGAGGCGACAAGGAGUGACAUAGACUUCUGUCUGUCCUCAGGGUAGAAGCCAGGAGAUUUCCAUCUUGUUAGUGAUCUUUCCAACUUUCCGUGUGUGUGUGUGUGUGUGUGUGUGGAGGCCAGAUGUUGAUUCUUUUUUAUAUAAUUUAUUUAUUUAUUUAUGUGCAUUGGUAUGUGCAUGUCUGGGUGAAGGUGUCAGGUCUCCUGGAACUGGAGUUACAGGCCCUGGUGAGCUGCCGUGGUGGUGCUGGGAAUUGAACCCAGGUCCUCUAUGAGAGCAGCCAGUGCUCUCGCCCACUGAGCCAUCACUCCAGUCCCAAUUUUCUUCCUUUAUUUUUUAUGAGAGUGAGUUUUUGCUUAUAGGUCUGUGCACCUUGUGUGUGCAGUACCCCUGGAGGCCAGAAGAGCGCGCUGUAUCCCCCGGAACUGGAGGUUGUGAGCCUCCGUGUGGGUGCUUGGAAUAGAACCUGGGUCCUUUGGGAGAGCAGCAAGUGCUUUUCACUAUUGGGUCAUCCAGCCUCCUAAACAAAUUCUUUAUCACAGUUUUACUUCUUAGUGUGUGUAUGUGUGUGUGUGUGUGUUUCAGAUUCUGAAACACUUCAGAACGUACACCUCUUUGGGCAUAGAUGUGAUGGUGUAAGCAUGAAAUUUCACACCUGGCUUGGUGUGAACUGAGCACGCAAAACUAUGAAAAUUACCGUGGUGGCACAUGCCUUUGAUCCCAGGCAGAAGCAGGUGGAUCUCUGUGAGUCCAAGGCCAGCCUGGUCUACAAAUCAAGUCCAGGACAGCCAGGGCUACACAGAGAAACCCUGUCUAGAAAGACCAAAUAUAUGUAUAUUGAAUAAAAUCGUCUUCAGAGUGCG